CCUCGGCAGUAAUGGUCCACGUGCAGUUGGCGUAAUUGGGGUAACCAUAUGGGAACCCAGGGCUCUCCACCGUCCCAUUGGGGCCUUGUAGUUGAAACGUGCAGUUCUGGCCUCUGGAAACCUGAGUCAACUCUACCACACUGGCUCAUCUCAGAAAGGGCCAUCAAUCAAAUGCCUUCACAUGUGCUGAUGAUACACUUGUAUUUCCAGUGGUCAAAAUUUAAGAGUCUCUGCUUUCUCCCUUUAAAGUUACAACCGUCACACUUGCUUACUUUCCAAUCAAUACAUAGAUGUAGCUACUUAAUAAUGGGGCUUACUCUAUUUUCUAUUUGGAAACCUAGAAGCCGGACACAAUUUCUUUUGGGAAGUUUCUAGAUUAUAAUUGCACUUAAUUGAGUAUAAACGAGACAGUAGCUGAGGGGAAAAGCUAUUUGAGCAGCAAUCUGAGCUCUUAUUUGCUGCUCUAGACCACACAGGAGAGUCUCAGAUAAAUUUCUACAAGUUAUUUGGUGUGCUCAGUAAUUUAACUACACCAUACAUUAUUUUCAGUAUCAUGAAAGUUUCUUAUCAGGUUGAUAUUUUUCAAGGAUAGAGUUAUCCAUCCCCUUGAAGAUCAAUUCAGUUUGAAAUUUUCCAACGAUUCCAAAACAAACAGGUAGA